rnacentral:lncRNA from 1 species
AUACGCACAGGUGAAGCCGUCCAUCCAGUUAUGACCACAGUUUGGGACGUUUGACGUCUGCGUAGAUACACACAGGUGAAGCCGUCCAUCCAGUUAUGACCACAGUUUGGGACGUUUGACGUCUGCGUAGAUACACACAGGUGAAGCCGUCCAUCCAGUUAUGACCACAGUUUGGGACGUUUGACGUCUGCGUAGAUACACACAGGUGAAGCCGUCCAUCCAGUUAUGACCACAAGCACUCUUCCUGUCCUGCCGCCCCACUCUCCCUGGUGCCCCUUGGGGAC